rnacentral:lncRNA from 1 species
GUUUAGGCAACCAUUCUUAUAUUCACAACUUUUUUUUUCUUUUCAUCUUUUCUUUUUUCCCCCAUAAUUCCUCUAUCCAACCAUGUUAAGGGUUGAUAGUGCUAAUGAGGUCUUGAACAAGGGUGCCUAAUAAAACAUGAGCAUCUGCCUUUGCCAUGAGCCACUUGAUACAGUCAGAAAAAUAACAUUUUGUUAGGUCAGUGAGGACUGAGGGCCCAUAACUACAAGUGUUUGAUAGAGAUGGGGACUUAGCUUUUGUGGGUGUAAGCAUCCUAGCCCCAUUGUCAAGCAGCAAUUAUUCCGCGUUCUAAUAAAAGCCCUGGCCAAUGUCAGUAGACAAAUAAAUAGUUUUGAGCCAAACACAAGGGUGCAUAGUCUUGACAUACUUUACAUUUGAUGGAU